rnacentral:rRNA from 1 species
UACGGAGGAUGCAAGCGUUAUCCGGAAUGAUUGGGCGUAAAGCGUCCGUAGGUGGUUCUGUAAGUCUGUGGUUAAAGCGUGGGGCUCAACCCCAUAAAGGCCAUGGAAACUACAAGACUUGAGUGAAGUAGGGGUAGAGGGAAUUCCCAGUGUAGCGGUGAAAUGCGUAGAGAUUGGGAAGAACACCGGUGGCGAAAGCGCUCUACUGGACUUAAACUGACACUGAGGGACGAAAGCUAGGGGAGCGAAAGGG